AAGUCGUAACAAGGUUUCCGUAGGUGAACCUGCGGAAGGAUCAUUACAGAAUAAACUUGGUGGGUUGUUGCUGGCUCAAUUGAGCAUGUGCACGCCUGUCAUCUUUAUCUUUCCACCAUGUGCACUCUCUGUAGGUCUGGAAUAGACAAUAAGCCUAGUCACUUGUUGAUUACUGGAAAGUUGCUGAUUCUUCAGCUCUUUCUGUAUCUGGCUGUCUAUUCCUAGGCUCUACGAUAUCUCUAUAUACACCAUGUAUGUCAAAGAACGCAAUCAAUGGGCCCAUAAAGCCUAUAAACCUAUAAUACAACUUUCAGCAACGGAUCUCUUGGCUCUC
rnacentral:misc_RNA from 1 species